GACCCGUAAUCCGGGUUGCGGACAGUGUCUGGUGGGUAGUUUGACUGGGGCGGUCUCCUCCUAAAGAGUAACGGAGGAGCACGAAGGUUGGCUAAUCCUGGUCGGACAUCAGGAGGUUAGUGCAAUGGCAUAAGCCAGCUUGACUGCGAGCGUGACGGCGCGAGCAGGUGCGAAAGCAGGUCAUAGUGAUCCGGUGGUUCUGAAUGGAAGGGCCAUCGCUCAACGGAUAAAAGGUACUCCGGGGAUAACAGGCUGAUACCGCCCAAGAGUUCAUAUCGACGGCGGUGUUUGGCACCUCGAUGUCGGCUCAUCACAUCCUGGGGCUGAAGUAGGUCCCAAGGGUAUGGCUGUUCGCCAUUUAAAGUGGUACGCGAGCUGGGUUUAGAACGUCGUGAGACAGUUCGGUCCCUAUCUGCCGUGGGCGCUGGAGAACUGAGGGGGGCUGCUCCUAGUACGAGAGGACCGGAGUGGACGCAUCACUGGUGUUCGGGUUGUCAUGCCAAUGGCACUGCCCGGUAGCUAAAUGCGGAAGAGAUAAGUGCUGAAAGCAUCUAAGCACGAAACUUGCCCCGAGAUGAGUUCUCCCUGACUCCUUGAGAGUCCUGAAGGAACGUUGAAGACGACGACGUUGAUAGGCCGGGUGUGUAAGCGCAGCGAUGCGUUGAGCUAACCGGUACUAAUGAACCGUGAG
rnacentral:rRNA from 1 species